rnacentral:rRNA from 1 species
UACGGGGGGGGCAAGCGUUGUUCGGAAUUACUGGGCGUAAAGGGCUCGUAGGCGGCCAUCUAAGUCGGGACGUGAAAUCCCUCGGCUUAACCGGGGAACUGCGUCCGAUACUGGAGGCUUGAGUGUGGGAGAGGAGUGCGGAAUUCCAGGUGUAGCGGUGAAAUGCGUAGAUAUCUGGAGGAACACCGGUGGCGAAGGCGGCAUCUGGACCAUGACUGAACGCUGAGGAGCGAAAGCCAGGGGAGCAAACGGG